rnacentral:rRNA from 1 species
UACGAAGGGUGCAAGCGUUACUCGGAAUCACUGGGCGUAAAGCGUGCGUAGGCGGUUCGUUAAGUCUGCUGUGAAAGCCCUGGGCUCAACCUGGGAACUGCAGUGGAUACUGGCUCGCUAGAGUGCGGUAGAGGAGAGUGGAAUUCCCGGUGUAGCAGUGAAAUGCGUAGAGAUCGGGAGGAACAUCCAUGGCGAAGGCAGCUACCUGGACCAACACUGACACUGAGGCACGAAAGCGUGGGGAGCAAACAGG